UACGGGGGGUGCGAGCGUUAAUCGGAAUAACUGGGCGUAAAGGGCACGCAGGCGGACUUUUAAGUGAGGUGUGAAAUCUCCGGGCUUAACCUGGGAAUUGCAUUUGAUACUGGUAGGCUAGAGUACUUUAGGGAGGAGUAGAAUUCCACGUGUAGCGGUGAAAUGCGUAGAGAUGUGGAGGAAUACCGAAGGCGAAGGCAGCCCCUUGGAAAUGUACUGACGCUCAUGUGCGAAAGCGUGGGGAGCAAACAGG
rnacentral:rRNA from 1 species